rnacentral:rRNA from 1 species
GUGCCAGCAGCCGCGGUAACACCGGCAGCUCAAGUGGUGGCCAUUAUUAUUGGGCCUAAAGCGUUCGUAGCCGGCCUGAUAAGUCUCUGGUGAAAUCCCAUAGCUUAACUAUGGGAAUUGCUGGAGAUACUAUCAGGCUUGAGAUCGGGAGAGGUUAGGGGUACUCCCAGGGUAGGGGUGAAAUCCUAUAAUCCUGGGAGGACCACCUGUGGCGAAGGCGCCUAACUGGAACGAAUCUGACGGUGAGUAACGAAAGCCAGGGGCGCGAACCGGAUUAGAUACCCGGGUAGUCCUGGCCGUAAACGAUGUGGACUUGGUGUUGGAAUGGCUUCGAGCUGCUCCAGUGCCGAAGGGAAGCUGUUAAGUCCACCGCCUGGGAAGUACGGUCGCAAGACUGAA